ensembl:lncRNA novel transcript, antisense to EFCAB5
AUCAGAUCCAACUCCUUUAGUUUCUCACGUUUUGGCCUUUAAGAUGCGGAGAUCACGGGAGGCCGCAUCAAAAGUAAGGAUUACACAUCAAAGGUAAAACUUUCAAAGAACUCGCCAAGUAUUUCAUAGCAGGCCACUUGGACCACUUUCAUCAUUUUCUGUAGAUCUUUAUAUUCUUGACACAACAACAUCCUAUUUUGGCCGAUGUUAAAAUCGAGGACUCCCAGAGCCUCUCCUGUUCUCUCACGAAGUGGAACUACUAUAUGCGUUUCUCCACAGGCAGAAGCCAGAACAACUUCUGAACUGUCAGUACAUUUAAAGAGGAAAUCUCUGAAAUCAAAACCAAAUAAGCACAAGGAUAUUAAACAUCUGUCUGUUCACAUCA